AGGAAAGAAAACAGGAUGGCGUAGAGAAGGGGGGAGGAGGGAAGGAUAGUAGAUGAAACGAGAAGUAUAUUUUUCGUUUCUACUUUGAAUUAUUAUUAGUAAGCUGAACGCCUUUGUACACAGAAGACUGGAAUUACUGUCAUUUUUCUCGUUAAAACAUGAGAUUACGUAUUCUAAUGUUGGAAUUUCGUGAUUCUGAAACAUUAGUUGAUAUCACAAUAUAGGAUGCAUUUCUAAAAUUAUGGAAGUGUGGCAAAAAUUUGGUAACGAGAUGCAUCUAACAAUAUUUGUCAAAUAUGGCUGAAGCUGUAAUUCACAUGCAAUGUGUUACACGUCACAAAUCAAUAACUUAUGUCGAAGCAAAGUGAAGAAUAAGAAAUCGCAACUAUUAAAAGAGUGUUGGAUCUGUUUUAGCAUAUAUAUAGAAAUGUUUGUUAUAUUUUCAUCAUAAAAUUGUUGAUUUAUUCUAAAUUGGUUUAGGCAGAAUUUGUAAGAACUUCGCUAUAACACGGAAUGACUUGUUUCGUUCAGUGAAUUAAAAGUAGUUUUAGAAGUUUUAAGGAAAUAAGUACUACU